rnacentral:rRNA from 1 species
ACACGACUACAUUAGAUACCCCUGUAGUCCCAGCCCUAAACGAUGCGCGUUAGGUGUAUCGGUGACCACGAGUCACCGAGGUGCCGAAGGGAAACCGUGAAACGUGCCGCCUGGGAAGUACGGUCGCAAGGCUGAAACUUAGAGGAAUUGGCGGGGGAGCACCACAACGGGUGGAGCCUGCGGUUUAAUUGGACUCAACGCCGGGAAGCUCACCGGAUAAGACAGCGGAAUGAUUGCCGGGCUGAAGACCCUGCAUGACCAGCUG